rnacentral:rRNA from 1 species
GAUGAACGCUGGCGGUGUGCCUAAUACAUGCAAGUCGAGCGAACAGACGAGGAGCUUUCUCCUCUGACGUUAGCGGCGGACGGGCGAGUAACACGUGGAUAACCUACUUAUAAGACUGGGAUAACUUCGGGAAACCGGAGCUAAUACUGGAUAAUAUAUCGAACGGCAUGGAUCAAUAGUGAAUGACGGUUUUGCUGUUACAUAUAGAUGGAUCCGCGCCGCAUUAGCUAGUUGGUAAGGUAACGGCUUACCAAGGCAACGAUGCGUAGCCGACCUGAGAGGGUGAUCGGCCACACUGGAACUGAGACACGGUCCAAGACCCUACGGGAGGGAGCAGUAGGGAAUCUUCCGCAAUGGGCGGAAGCCUUGCGGCAGCCCGCCGCGUGAGUGAUAAAGGUCUUCGGAGCUUAAAACCCUGUUUUUAGGGAAAAACAAGUGUGUAGGUAACUCUGCGCGUCUCGGCGGUACCUAAUCGGAUAAGCACGGCUAACUACGGG